UCUCCGAUCCAAGUACUAACCAGGCCUGACCCUGAUCAGCUUCCAGAAUCAGACGAGAUUGGCAUGUUCAGGGUGGUAUG
rnacentral:sRNA from 1 species